rnacentral:rRNA from 1 species
CCCUUAGAUGUUCUUGGCCGCACGCGCGCUACACUGAUGCAUUCAACGAGUCUAAAACCUGCUCUGAUAGGGGUGGGUAAUCUUUUGAAUGUGCAUCGUGAUUGGGAUAGAUGAUUGCAAUUUUUCAUCUUCAACGAGGAAUGCCUAGUAAACGCAAGUCAUCAGCUUGCAUUGAUUACGUCCCUGCCCUUUGUACACACCGCCCGUCGCUCCUACCGAUUGAAUGAUCCGAUGAAUAUCAUGGAUUGAGGAUGCAAGUAGGUUCGCCUAUCUUCAUCUUCGAGAAGUGAAGUAAAUCUUAUCAUUUAGAGGAAGGAGAAGUCGUAACA